CUGAGUAGCUGGGAUUACAGGCACCCGCCACCACGCCUGGCUAAUUUUUGUAUUUUUAAUAUGGACAGGGUUUCACCAUGCUGGCCAGACUGGUCUCAAACUCCUGGACUCAGGUGAUCCACCCACCUCGGCCUCCCAAAGUGUUGGGAUUACAGGCGUUAGCCACCGUACCCAGCCUCGAAACAGUUUGAUUUUUGAGAUGGCAGCAUGGGGACACUGAGGAUGAUUGGAGAUGUUGGACACUCGGAAGCAGAAUGACUCUGAAACAGUCAAGAGGCAGCAAGCCUGGAGCUUCUUCCAGAUCUUCUUGAAUUCUCCUUUAAAACUCACUAGCAAAUGCUGACCUGGGAAUUUGAAAACAGCACACUAAAAUGAAGAUAUCAACUCACUUCCUGGACUUUAAACUUCAUGGCUCUGUGGCUGGAAUGCAGCCAUCCAGUUCUUCAAGGGAGAAAUUCUGCAAUGCUGCCUGGUCGCUGUUCCAUGUUGUGGAUCCAGUGUGACUUGCUGAUAGGUUUGUGUAAAGAACCACUGAGUAACUUGAACAUGACAAAUUCUUACAUUAAAAAGAUUAAACCAUAACUUCAGGCUGCUCCUUUCAUUCCUUCCCCACCCUCACCCUCUCAGGAAGCCAGGAAGGAAAAAUGUGUCAACCAUCCAACAGCAAAU
rnacentral:lncRNA from 1 species